AAGCUCUAUUGAAUUUCGGGAUCAAUACGUCGGUCGUGCCUUCGGUACGUACUGGCGUCGUUGAUUUCUCCCUUCUGAUGAACCAUGAUGUCAUUAAUUUGGUGUUGUGGGGAGUCAGGACUGUUACUUUGAAAAAAUUAGAGUGUUUAAAGCAAGCUCACGCUUGAAUACAUUAGCAUGGAAUAAUGAAAUAGGACGUUUGAUCCUAUUUUGUUGGUUUCUAGGAUUGACGUAAUGAUUAAUAGGGAUAGUUGGG
rnacentral:rRNA from 1 species